AUAUAUAUUUCAGAACCAUCCUCGGAGAUACGAAAAACUAGUUUCAUAUUAAUCGUAUCUCUGAGGAUGGUUCUGAAAUAGGGUU